rnacentral:rRNA from 3 species
UGGGGAAUAUUGGACAAUGGGCGCAAGCCUGAUCCAGCCAUACCGCGUGGGUGAAGAAGGCCUUCGGGUUGUAAAGCCCUUUUGUUGGGAAAGAAAUCCAGCCGGCUAAUACCUGGUUGGGAUGACGGUACCCAAAGAAUAAGCACCGGCUAACUUCGUGCCAGCAGCCGCGGUAAUACGAAGGGUGCAAGCGUUACUCGGAAUUACUGGGCGUAAAGCGUGCGUAGGUGGUUGUUUAAGUCUGUUGUGAAAGCCCUGGGCUCAACCUGGGAACUGCAGUGGAAACUGGACAACUAGAGUGUGGUAGAGGGUAGCGGAAUUCCCGGUGUAGCAGUGAAAUGCGUAGAGAUCGGGAGGAACAUCCAUGGCGAAGGCAGCUACCUGGACCAACACUGACACUGAGGCACGAAAGCGUGGGGAGCAAACAGGAUUAGAUACCCUGGUAGUCCACGCCCUAAACGAUGCGAACUGGAUGUUGGGUGCAAUUUGGCACGCAGUAUCGAAGCUAACGCGUUAAGUUCGCCGCCUGGGGAGUACGGUCGCAAGACUG